rnacentral:lncRNA from 1 species
UGCAACUGAUGUGGUUCUGUGCAACUGAUGGAGCACAAAGGAGGCCAUGCACAGAGGUCCGGCAACAUGGACCAUGUUUGUGCUGCUAACCAUGUUGGGAGUAGCUUGGGCUACGCAUCUAGUCAGAUGCGCGAUAAGGGGCAGAAGCGCUACUAUGUGCAAUUGCAGGAAGCGAAAGCUAAGGGCGGCCCGGUGGUUGGAGCAGAGAGUGGCACGGAGGGGGCCUUUUGACACAUGAGGUUGCAUCAGGAUAACAGGCCCGAAUAUAGCCGCAUCGCGUCUCAGCUGUGCGGUC